UUCGGGGGCUAUUAGAGUGGCGAAAGGGCGAGGAAUACGUUUCUACAUACCCUCAGGUCAGGGAUAGCCCNNGGAAACUUGGAGUAAUACCUGAUGUGGUCUCCGGAUCAAAGGCUUCGGCCGCCAGAGGAGUGGGGAACGUCCUAUCAGGUUGUUGGUGAGGUAAAGGCUCACCAAGCCUUAGACGGGUAGCGGGUGUGAGAGCAUGACCCGCCGCAUCGGGACUGAGACACUGCCCGGACUCCUACGGGAGGCUGCAGUAACGAAUCUUCCGCAAUGCGCGAAAGCGUGACGGAGCAAUGCCGCGUGCAGGAUGAAGCUUCUCGGAGUGUAAACUGCUGUCAGGGUUUAGCAACACAAUGAGCAGACCCAAAGGAAGGGCCGGCUAACUUCGUGCCAGCAGCCGCGGUAAUACGAAGGGCCCGAGCGUUGCGCGGAAUCACUGGGCUUAAAGCGUACGUAGGCGGGGCGCGCAGGCGUCUUGUGAAAGCCCUCGGCUCAACCGAGGAAUUUGCUUGACGAACCGCGUG
rnacentral:rRNA from 1 species